UACGUAGGCAGCAAGCGUUGUUCGGAGUUACUGGGCGUAAAGGGCGCGUAGGCGGCCGAUCAAGUCGGGGGUGAAAGCCUGUGGCUCAACCACAGAAUUGCCUUCGAUACUGUUUGGCUUGAGACCGGAAGAGGUAAGUGGAACUGCGAGUGUAGAGGUGAAAUUCGUAGAUAUUCGCAAGAACACCAGUGGCGAAGGCGGCUUACUGGUCCGGUUCUGACGCUGAGGUGCGAAAGCGUGGGGAGCAAACAGG
rnacentral:rRNA from 1 species